rnacentral:rRNA from 1 species
UACGAGUGCCUCAAGCGUUAUCCGGAAUCAUUGGGCGUAAAGGUUGUGUAGGUGGUUGUAUUAGUCUUCUGUUAAAUUCUUCGGCUUAACCGGGGGCAUGCAGAGGAAACGGUACAACUAGAGGAUGCGAGGGGUCUGCGGAACUCAUAGUGUAGCGGUAAAAUGCGUUGAUAUUAUGGGGAACACCAAAAGCGAAGGCAGCAGACUGGAGCACUCCUGACACUGAAACAAGAAAGCGUGGGUCGCGAAUGGG